rnacentral:tRNA from 1 species
UACAUUUUAGUGUACGAUGCACAUAAACUUUUGAUGUUUAUUGAAACAGUUUAAUUCUGUUAAAUGUAA